AUACUUACCUGGCAGGGGAGAUACCAUGAUCAUGAAGGUGGUUCACCCAAGGUGAGGCUCAGCCAUUGCACUGGGGCUGUGCUGACCUUUGCGAAUUCCCCAAAUGUGGGAAUCUCGACUGCAUAAUUUCUGGUAGUGGGGGACUGCGUUCGCGCUCUCCCCUG
ensembl:snRNA U1 U1 spliceosomal RNA